UUGUGAGGUCACAGGAAAUAAUGCAAAUCUGAGAGCUUUGAGAACCGCAAAAUCCUAUUUGGCCAUGAAUUAUUAUUAUUUAUUUCAAAUAGUGAUUGCGAGACAUUAUCUUUCAUAAUAAUUAUCAACCUAUGCUGUGCUGGCCAGGUCCUGCACAGGAACGAGCACCCUCCACCUAGACACCCUCCAGUGUCCCUGCCAAGAAGAGUCACUCUCAGACUCCAUCUAUGUCAGGCACGUGCACAGAGCUGGAAAUCUAGGAUGCGUGGGAUUGCAUUUCUGUCUUAAAGGAGUUGAUAUUCUUGGAGAAUUCAGAAACUAAGCAGUCACAGCAGCACACGAUGGUGGCUUGGCAGAGGGGUUCUGUUUACUGUUGCCACCCAAGGAUCGAGACUGAGAGUGGCCACGACCACCUUGCUAUUGGCUGUACCAGAGGGAAACAAAGAGCAAUUGCAUGGUCCAGCCUGGACGUAGCCCAAGUCACCUCCUCUCACAGCUGAUUGGCCAGGACUAGUUAUGUGGUCCUGCCCUGCCCAAGGGGAGCCAGGAAGUAUAAUCCCACAACGAACCCGGAAGUGGGAAGAAUUGGAAUUUUUUGGCUGACGUCAGGAAAGUUUACAAUAAUGGGUGUUUGUUACAGUCCUCAUCAGUUCGUUUUACAUGUUUGAAUUAUGUUUCCUAUUUUGCCACACUGGGGUUGGGGGAAGCCCCGGUCUGGGAAUCAGGAGGCUUGGGCUUCACCGUGAGGAAAAGAAGGUGAAAGAGGCAAGGGUAGAGACGGCAUGGCUCUCGGCUCCAUAGGUCUGUUCCCAGAACACUCAAUGGGAUUGUCAUACCCACACUGAUGCUGCAACUAUCCCUUAUUCAGAAAGGGAUCUCCAUGUAAAUGACUCUGAGCAGGCUGACCUUCCUGGCUUUUGUUGAUCUCCAAGGAGGCUGGGUAGGCAACAGGAAGCCUGAUACAAAGAGAUGUAGUGCAUCGAGUGUGGGUCGUAAAGUCCAAAGUCUUAACUACAUGCCAGGUCUGCCACUCACACACUUCCUGCCACCUUGGUCAAGUUACCAUACUUCCAGGGUCUAUUUUCCUCAUCGGUGAAACGGGCAUAACAAUAACACUUCCAUCUUUGAAGAGCUGUGACAAACAAAUGAGGUAUGUAAAGUGCGCUGUAACUGUAACGUGCUAUACAGACGUUCACUAUUAUUAAUGACCUAAAUUUUGCUGCAAGGGAAGCCUCAGGCCAGAUUUACAUUUCUGGCCGACAAUGACUCAUACAACUUCCCUCACUAGAGCCACCUGGUUGACAAAAUGGGCCCAGGCAUCAUCCUGUGGUCCAACCGCUUGAAGAAUCUAUUGAUUUCCUCUUGUGAAAGUGAGUGUGGGAGCAGGGACUGAGCAUUAUUGCAGAUUCCCUGGGGAAUUUGAGGGGGAGGGUAUGAUUCCCAGGAGCAUGGCCAGGAUGGGGAGGGGUUCUUGGCUAAGAAGGAAGCCUGGGUCCCUGGGACUCAUUGAAAAUUCGAGCCAGAAGAGGAGAGGAAGGAGAAAACAGCUCUUUCAGUCCCCUCAUUUUCCAAAAGAGGAAACUGAGGCCAGGAGAGGCAAAAAGGACGGCCCUUUUCCAACAGCAAUAGCGAGUCAAGAGAGUUGGCAUUCACCUAAGGUCUUCAAUUCACUCAGAGUAACCAGGGCAAGCUCCUGCCAAAUACCUUAGUUUCCUCAUGUGCAAACCGAGGGGAUUGAACUCUAUCCCCAACAGUUAUUUCUAGUGUGCUAUUUUAAGAACACCCAGUUCUAUCACAUAUGAAAUGCAGUAAAACCCUCCCUAAAGGUGAGCUUUCUGAUCCCGGUUAUUGAUUUUGCAGGUCUGGCUCACAGGAGUUAUCUCCUGGCUCCAGGAGUUGUCCUUCCCACACACCCUGAAUGCUACCUGUUAGCCCUCCUCCCUAUCUUGCUAAAGAGCCCCUUCUCACCUGUAUUCUGUUAACCCUUAGAGCGCUGAUGCUCUUGACUCUACCCAUACCUAACAAAUAUCCCUACCUACUUGUGUUACUGGCCCGGGGGAUGGGGCCAGAAAAACCUUCAUUAAGCUGCAGAGAACACAGGACACCACUCAGGAAAGAGCUCGUGGGCACCUGAGUCCGGUCCCAGAAGUCAAUCCCAGAGGAUGCUUUGCACACCAAUAUUGCUGUUGAUAACACUUCCCCAGAGAUCUCAGGAAACUACACAGCCAGAUGCAAGGGCAAGCCUGACCUUACAGCAGGUGCAUCCUGCUCUGACGGUGCAGCAAACUCCGCAGGAGGACCUCUCAGGCCACGUUACCUGGGGCCUUGCCACUGAGGCCAUCACAGGCCCCUCCCCACAGCUGCUAAGUCAU